UACGAAGGGGGCUAGCGUUGUUCGGAAUCACUGGGCGUAAAGCGCACGUAGGCGGAUUGUUAAGUCGGGGGUGAAAUCCUGAGGCUCAACCUCAGAACUGCCUUCGAUACUGGCGAUCUUGAGUCCGGAAGAGGUUGGUGGAACAGCUAGUGUAGAGGUGAAAUUCGUAGAUAUUAGCUAGAACACCAGUGGCGAAGGCGGCCAACUGGUCCGGAACUGACGCUGAGGUGCGAAAGCGUGGGGAGCGAACAGG
rnacentral:rRNA from 1 species